UUGGUGUGAAAGACAUGGGUAGUGAGAUGUAACAAAUUGUAAUUAAUUUAACUAACAUCUCACUACUUUGUCUUUGGCGCUAAU
rfam:Tetranychus urticae London genomic scaffold, scaffold_10